GUGAGGAAUAUUGCGCAAUGGAGGCAACUCUGACGCAGCCAUGCCGCGUGCAGGAAGAAGGCGCUACGCGUUGUAAACUGCUUUUAACCGGGAAGAAACCCCAGGACGUGUCCUGGGUUGACGGUACCGGAGGAAUAAGCACCGGCUAACUUCGUGCCAGCAGCCGCGGUAAUACGAAGGGUGCAAGCGUUAUCCGGAUUCAUUGGGUUUAAAGGGUGCGUAGGCGGAGCGUUAAGUCAGUGGUGAAAUCCUGCAGCUUAACUGUAGACUUGGCAUUGAUACUGGCGCUCUUGAGUGCGCUUGAAGUGGGCGGAAUGUGCCGUGUAGCGGUGAAAUGCUUAGAUAUGGCACAGAACACCAAUUGCGAAGGCAGCUCACUAAGGCGAUACUGACGCUGAGGCACGAAAGCGUGGGGAUCGAACAGGAUUAGAUACCCGAGUAGUCC
rnacentral:rRNA from 1 species